AGAUCAAAGUCAGAGGGCAGAUUUCCUUUGUAAUACUGAAAUUGUUAAAUCAUAAUCAAGAGCUUUCUUUGGUCUGAGCAGGUUAACAGAUCUGAGAGCUCACUGGUCCCUCGGACUCUCCUCAGCCUGCUCACAGUUGAUUUUCCUGCCCUUAUGAUUUGGGGCAAAGAUAAGGAUGAUUCAGGAAACACCAAGUGCUUCAGAGCCAGAACAAGACACUGUGACUACAAUUGAAAGGUUGUCUCAGCGCUCUCCACAUCUGGCAGAAGAGACAGAGAUUUUAAGUGGACAGAUUUUCUUGCUCCAGUGGAGUACAGGAGAGCCAAGGCAGGGCACAGAGCUCUCAGGGACUUACCAGGACUGGGCCCGGCAGUGUUGACUGAGGUAUUGUUGGGACUGCUCUGUUUAUUAUCCCUGGAGAAGCGUGGACAGAA